ACAUGCCUACAUCAUUGCGUUAAUGCAAUGGAUCCCAUUAAAACUUCGCAGUUAAGUGCGCUCAAGAUAGAGUAGUACUGGGAUGGGUGACUACUUGGGAAUUCCUAGUGUUUUACAUUCC
rnacentral:rRNA from 1 species